UAGCCCACGAGCCGUCGGAUUCGCCCAGCUCGUGAUGUUAACCGUUGGAUCGUGCCAGCGCAAUCCUCUCUCUCUGCCCGUUAAGCCGCGGACCCGAACACUCGCGAACCCGCUCGUCCCCUCCUCUCGGCGGACGAGGAGCCGCCGCAUCAACCUGCCCGCCGGGCCGCCACGCCGCGCCGUGCCGAGCUGCCUGCUAGGCCGCGGAGGAGGAUAACGGAAGAGGAACCGCCGCAUCGAGCUGCCUGCUGGCUAGCCGCGCCGAGCCGUCAGGCCUCCCUCGGCGGCCUGGCCCGGCGGCGGCCGGCCGGGCCCUCACGCUGCGCCGUGCCGAGCUGCCUGCCGGGCUGCGGAGGAGGAGAAUGGAAGACGAGGAGGCGCCGCGGAGAAACCGUCGCGUCGAGCCACCUGCCAGGCAGCCGCGCCGAGCCGCCAGAUCUCCCUCGGCGGCGCAGCCCGGUGGCGCGGCCGUGGUCUUGCGCCGGCAGCGGCUGCCGCGCCUGGGCCGUGGCUCGCGCUCCAUCCCUCAGGCAGCUUCUAGAAACGUAGUCUCCCUCGACCGGUCGACCCAUCACCGCUUCCCCGCCUUGCAGCCUCACCUCCACGUGAUGGCCUGAUGGGCUCACCGGCGGCGCUCGUCCAAGCGGCAGCUGUGGCUUGGGUCCCUAGCACUGGUGCUCCUCCCGUCAUCCACCGUGCGCUCCGAGUAUGGGCGCCGCGCGCUCCGCGCAGACAUUCCCGCUUCGCAAACUGCAGCCAGCCACCUGCAAGCAAGUACCAAAGCGAAGGGAUCCCCGAGCAAGAAGGUGACAAGCUCUGGUGCUGUGCAGCUCCCCCGCGCCCUUGUGCAAUGUCCCAUGCAGCAGAGUCCGUCGGUUACUGCCCCAGGAGCUCAAGUGGCAAUUGACAUGGCUGAUGUCCAGCAGCUGCUCGAGGAAAUGCCUCUAUGGUCAGUACAUUUCCAAAUUUCUUGGCACGCAAUCUUCUUGAUCUUGAGUAUAUUGUCUCUGGCCCCAACUUUGGCCUGCUCCUCAGUAGCCAGUUUAUUCAACAAAGCAAAAUAGUCGACGGAUUGUCCAACUAGCAUACGGGAUGGAUCUAAGGCCCACCUAUCAAUGAUAUAAGAUUGACCAAACCUAAAGCUUACUUGCUUUAGCAAUAGAAUGGCUUCACCACUGGGAGCUCCGAUCCUGACGAUUCCUGCCACAAGAGGAUGGGGUUCAAGCAUUGAACUACAGUACAAACAAAUUAUUACUUAUUCAAAUAAUAAUUUAAACUAAAGUAUCCAAGAAAUAAAUUAUAUUGCUGCUAUCUACAGCUUCCUCUGUAGCCAGUUUAUUCAACAAAGCAAAAUAGUCAAUGCAGGUCACUAAGAUUUAAUUUGGUUCAAGUAUCACUAUAUUCAGAGUUAUGUAUAUUUCUGUAAUUUGUGCGCUGGCCUUCCAUCUCCGCCUGGCUCUCCUUUUUUUAAUCUCUACUUAUAUUCACUAAUGUUGCAAUUCACUUGCGGAGCUGUCGCUAUUUCUCAAUGCACGGUGUCACAGACAGCAGAUCACAGAGCACAGAUGGCAAAGACAGGACCUCUUAAACCCCAACACAAUCUAUAUGUAAGCACGAAGAAUGUGCUGCAUCUAUACUACGAUAUCUAAUAAUUUAUGUAAUCUUUGAGUCUAAGAGUUCAUAUAAAUCAGUAUGAAUUAUAUAA